GCAACCACACUUUUAACUAAUUGCUCGACAUAUUACAAUUUCCUACUUGUGUAUCAAAUUAUUAUUUAAUAAUAAUUCUAAUAUUUAGAACCAUAAUUAGAAUUGUAAUAUAAAUACACAACUCUCUUGUAAUAAGAGAUACGGCCACCAUCAUACGUGUAUAUAUAUUUAGAUGAUAUGGUUGUAACUGCUCAACCAUCAAUUUUAGGGUUAUAUUCUCCCUCUAAAAUUUUUUUCGUUCCUUUUCCUUAGAUUUUUGUAGAAUUUGUUAUGACUAGAUUUAAUUAUCAUAUUGUUUUAUUGUAGUUUACAUGUAUUAAAAAAAUGUCGGUUGACUUUAUGUCUGAAGGUUGAUAUCUCGAUUAUCGUGUAUAAAGGUUAACAUAAUAUCUUAUCUCAAAUAUCGUAUUAUUUAGUUAUAGUUUAUGUAAAAUUUUGGUUUAAGGGUUGGUAUCUCGAUAAUCAUGUGUAAAGGUUAACAUAAUAUUUCACAUAUCGUAUUGUUUCGUUAUAGUUUAUGUAAAAUUUGUUUCUUUUCAAGUUAAUGUAAAUUCAUUAUGGUUAGGUCUAAUUAUAUUAUUUUGAUAUCUCUAUUAUAAUAUUGUUUUAUUGUAGUUUACAGGCAGCAGAUGAAUGUCGAUCGGCUUUGAGGCUGGCAUAUCAAGCUCAUGCUUGAUGAAAUAUGAUGACAACAAAUCUACAUCUGAAAAACUGAUGCUACUAAUUAGUUAUCUAACUUUGUCUUCUUUUGCUUCCUACAGGAUAGUAUGACAGUUGCUGGGGCAAAGGCAUGGGUAAUAGGAACAUUUAAUAAUGAUGAUGAAGCAUUAGGUGUUGUGGGAGAAUGGUGUUGCGAUUUCUUUCACCUUUGAGUUCAACGAUUCUAUCGAAUGUUGUUUUAUGCUUAUUUCCUCAUGUGGUAGAUGAAUGUCAUCGGGUGGAUUUGAGGAAUUUUUUGGGUCUUCCCGGUGCCAUAAAUCGCAAUAUGAGAUUCUCAAUAUAUUCUAGCUAGAUCAACGGUUAUGCAGCUCGUGGAGGCCAUAUUGGUCAUGUUUUUAAAGGUGAAUGAUUUCACAACCCAACAAAUGAAUGCCAUUGUGUCAGCAGUAUGUUCCUCAAGUUCAAACCACCAUAAUUUUCUUAAUGCCUCCUCCUACCUAUACAUGUGACUGAAUAAUAUUUUUGAUACAAAAAUCUUACUACCACUCUUUAAUGUAGUCUUCAUGCACAUCAAUAAUGAACAACUUUGAUUUAAUAGUUCUUUUUAUGAACACAAUUAAUAAAAGAAUGUCUUUAAAAAAUUUACUAUAAUUAUUAGACGAAGAAAAUAAUUAAGGUUACCCAUACUUAUAUGAAUCAUAUUAAUGUUCAAAAUUUAAUUCAUAGUGAACUUUUAGAUUUCAACUAGAAUCGUGUCUAUUUACAGUUUGAUUAAUUAGUAGUGGCCUAUAUAUAUAUUAGUAUUGGAUUAUAGCACU